GGAUUUGGGGACUCAGUGGUAGAGCACUUGUCUGGCACAUGCAUAGCUCUGGGUUUGACUCCCAGCAAACCCA
rnacentral:tRNA from 1 species